rnacentral:lncRNA from 10 species
CUCAGCACCUGGGUUCUUGUCUAGCAUCCAGGAAGAAUCAGGUCACAUGAAUGGAUUGAAGAGUAGUGUAUGCAGAGGAUUUUAUUGGGCGGUGGAAGUGGCUCUCAGUGAGAUGGGAGUUGGUAAGGGGAUGGUGUGGGAAGAAGGCGAUCUUUCCCCAAAGCUGCACCAUCUGGAGUUGGUUGCAUCUAUCCAUUGUCUCUGAUGCUCAGCCGCUUCUAUUUCCACCACUCAGCUGCUUGUAUUCCUGACACUCAGAUGCUUGUAUUCCCAGUGCUCAGCUGCUUGUGUUAUUUUGCCAGCUGAAGUCUUUUUAUGGGCACAGGAUAGGGGCAUGGCAGGCCAAAAAGGCCACAUUUGGAUGGAAAAAUGAGUUGCUUCACGGAAGGUCAUCAUCUUCAGUUGAAAUGCCAUACUCAAAGAAGACUUUCCACAAGAUCAUGAAGAAACAUCUAAAAAAGAAUGGCAGCACUCAGACCGUGUGUUUCAAGGUCCACGCUAGCACAGAUUAAUGAACCCUAGAAUUACAUAAUAAAAGAGAGAGAUCCUCAGAGAUACCCUGAUUUUCGUCUUUUAUUUGAUGAGAAAGGAGUUGAAAGCCCAGGUAGUUAAGUGCACUUUCUGACGUCACUCAGCCUGUCUGUAAAAAGGUGUUCCAAAUUAUUGCCUGGUCUCUGUCCUCUCAACAUACAGCUUUUCAAAAGCCAUAUUCUAUGAUUCUCAACAGAUUAGAAAUCUGUUGAGACUUGCCAAAUCUGUAUGACUUGCCAAAAAUAGGAACAGGUGAAAAUAUUCUAAAAAUGCUCUCAUUAAUAAAGUUAAUUAACUAUAAUGCUCUGGACCUUCAGAGUUUUAAAGCUAGAAAACUGCUUUUUAAAAAAAUUUCUGAGCAGUUUCUGCCUUCUGGUUCAUAGAUUGGCAUUUUACUUUAAGGAGGAGAGUCUUUUUGUUCUGCAAAGUCUGGAUUGGUCCCUUUUGGCUGUGACAAUUUAAGGAUGUUAAAUUUGUUAGGAGCCUGAUGCUUAUAAACUAUCAGGGCAUAGGGUAAGUGGACCUCCAGCCCAGUGUUCUUAUUUCCUUUCACAUACUUGGGAGCAAUGAGCUCUUGUAGGGUCAGAGUGAUGGUGACAGUGAUGUCAUCCACUUGUGGUUAAAAGUUGUCGGGACAUGUCUGAGGGCCCUAGAGGAAAGACGCCCUAAGGGAAAGUGGAGUCUGAAUUUGGACUUCCAUCUCAGGCAAGUAGAAACUGGAUCUUUGCACUUCUGUCUUGCUGGUGCCGGACCCCAGGUUUUUCAGCCACCUCUUUGUGGUGUUUGGACAUGUCCCAGAGAAAAUGCUGUAUGCAAGUGUGCUGAAGUCGCCUGUGAGCACCAAACAUGGUGGAACUGAUUCCUGUCGCUUUGCUGUGGGGUGCUCUUGACCGAACAUGAACUUGAAAGGAACAUGAUCUACUGAGUGAACGGUCAGCAUCUGCAGCAGUGGUCAAAGAACAGGGAGGUCUUGUCAGCAAGACCCAUUAGCUGGCCAGACCCUGUCUAAGGAAAACACAGGACAUCAUGGCUCUCCUGGCACCAGAGCCCACAGUCAGCGUCCUGAGAGUGCUAGAAGUGAUUGAGGAAGCCAGCGCUGGGCUUGCUGAGUCAGCAAUGUAGGAGUUCUCCACCAGCCCACUUCACUGAGAGCCUUCAAUUGGU